UGAUGGGCUGGGCUAUGUCACAAGGGAGUGUGGUACAAAUGCUUGCCAUAUAAUGCUUUGCUAUUGCUCUCCUGGUUGGGUCACCAAUCUUUAGACACUUAAAUUGUCUAAAUGUAAAGAGAAUUAAUGUCACUACAGGCUGCUAAAGAGCAGAAGUUACUGUUGGCAUGACCUGGCAAUAGCCAGGUAUGCCUGGCUCACUCUAAAAGGGUCUGCAUGUCUCUUCCUCGCUGUCUGAUCCUCUUUCUUACUACCUGCCCCUUCUCCCGCUCCCCCCUUCCUCUCCCCAUGUGUUCCUGGCCUGCUUCUCCCUCUCCUCUCCCCACCUCCCGCCUUUCUCUGCCUCCCACCUUCCCCAUGCCCUAAAUAAACUCCAUACCAUGCCUCAGGGGGAGGGGAUGCCUCAGCGGGGGCCUGUGGAGGCAGCCCUUCCACCUCACCCACCAUACAGCGCCUCUACCAACACGGGUGCUGUGCCUGGGAUUUAGAAACUCACAGGUUGCAUGAGCUCAUAUUUCCGUGCUGCCACAUGGACUUUGCAGCCAUGGGAUGGAUCUCUUGCUAGACCUCUCCACCCAAGCACUGGAGAAUUGGUAAAGCUCCCUACUCUCACUGGUCAGCAUAAACGCCCUCUGGUCCCAAGGGAGGGCUGUUGAGCUUGCAGCCACCCCGUGGUGUCCUGGUCUUCUUACUGAUGCUUCGUUCUCGGACCUCUACCCCUGGGUCUCCGAAGAAGAUAUGGGCACAGUGACAAGAUUCUACCUGGACUGUGAUGGCUCCACAGACCCUGGACAGCAAGGAAACAGCAACUCUCCUACAUGUGGACCAACAUCCCCAUGCCCAUUUUCUUAGGUUUCCCAGAGACACAGCGCUCCAAAGUCAGCAGGAAACAACUAAAGAUCACUAUGCCCCUAAUCCUGCUUCACCAUCAUCUCUAGUUUUUCCUUUUUUUUUUUUAAUGAAACCAAAAUGGAAGAAUGUUAGCAUUCUGUCUAGGCUCCUCCCAGCAGUUACCUGGCAACAGCCAUGUAUGCCUGAUUCACUAUAAACGGAGCUGCUUGCCCCCUCCUCACUCUCUUAUCCUCUUACUCUCUGCCCCUUCUCCCUCUCUCCCCCUCCCCUUCCCCCUCUCCCUCUCUGCCUUUCUCUCUCUCUACCCCCUCAGCUCCCCUCCCCAUGCCCUAAAUAAACUCUAUACAAUACUAUACCCGUUGUAUAGCUGGUACUUCAGGCAGAGGGACUCCUCAGCGUGGGCCUGGGGAGGCACCCCUUCCACCUCACCAUACAGCGUUUCUACCAAAACACAUACGGGCUCUUUCUUUCCUUCUCUCUUAUAAAGCACAACAGCCACCGCCCUCCAGCAGCCCUUCUCUGGCUCAUGGCUUCCGUCCGCAGCAUGAGUUUGUUUGUUUUUCUGUGUGUUGUUCUUUGAGAUUGUUCUUUAUGAUUUUAUUUUUUAAAUUGUAUAUGUGUGGUCUGUCUAUAGUGUAUGUACGUGUAAAUGCAGAUGCCUUUGGAGGUCAGACAUGGCAGCUUCCCCCAGAACUUGAGUUACAGGUGGUUGUGAGCCACCUUGUGGCUGCUGAGAGCUGGACUUGGUUCUUCUAUUAGUCUCUCCGCCACCGAGCUACUCCCACCCCAUCUGCAGAGGUUUUAAACUAGAAGCUGCUGAAAGUUGGUUUUAUACCUUUCCUUCCUUCCUUCCUUCCUUCCUUCCUUCCUUCCUUCCUUCCUUCCUUCCUUCUCUCUCUCUCUCUC